rnacentral:lncRNA from 1 species
GGCGACCGGUCCCGCGCGCUGCCGAGAGGCUCUGCGCCGCGCGGAAGCUUCUGCCCGCGCUUAGAUAAACAAGCGCAGACCGAGUUCACUGGGCAGCACCCCGCCCCGCGCGCUCGGUCCAAGCUACGGUCUGCGAACUGCGCGUGCGCGCGCUGCUCGCCUCAGGCGAGUGCAACAUCAAUGUGUGCCUCCUUCGCUCAGAAUUUGACGGAGUCAAAGUGGAAGAGGGGCGAGUGGAAUCUCCAGACUUGAAACUGAAGCAGCGAAUAAGAAAAAGAAGUUAAGCGUCCAGUGGGGUAGGGGACCAUGGCGUGAACGCCAGUGUCCGAUACCACCCAGUCUGUUAGCACUCCGGAGAAUUUGGUUUUAUUUUGUGUAAACAUAACGGUGCGAACAGUCGUGGAAGACAAUGAAUGCCUCCAAGCCUCUGCCUGAGGUUGCAUAAACACGAAAAAAAUGAAGCCUGGUUUCAAAGGUCAGGACUGAGGGGUGGCGGCACGCCUAAGGCGCUAGUCCGCUGCGCCCACACGCCACGCAGCCCGUCCACGCCCGAUGACGUCGCGCAGCCCCGCCCACUCCCUCCAGCCCCGCCCGCCAGUGUCCGCCAGAAGGGUUCUUCCCACGCCCGGUCAGCCUGGGGCACGUGGAAAACUUGGAGUGCGGAAUUUCCAGCGGUAGCUGGAAGGCCCGAGGACACCUCAGCAACAGCCUGCUGGAGGCAUCGUGUAGGAAGGUGGAAUUCAAUGUGGCCAAUCAGUUUACGAUUCUGGAACCCAUGGUACCACUCACGACCUAUUAGAGAGAGACAUUUUAUACCACGUGAUGGCUUCUCCUUCAACCAAUCGGGAAAAAAGUUUAGUCAUAGGAUUGGUUUAACCCUUCUCCCAGAACCUCGCCAGGGUGGGCGGGUACUCCUGUGCACUCUAUGCCAACCAAUCACAGGGAAAAACAAAAUAAACAUGAGCUAAGAAAAAACUGACUUUUCCCCCAAAGAUGUAAAUCUCUGUGAUAGUGAAAAUCCAUAACUUCAUAUGGACACGGCCAGGUUCCUUAGUUACAGAGUCC